CCCAGAGAAAUCUGGGCUAAUAUCAGAUGAUGCAGCGGCUCGACAUCGAGACAGUUGUUAAACCUUCGGGGCCUAAAGAUGAGCCUGCGUCUGAUUAGGUAGUUGGCGGGGUAAUGGCCCACCAAGCCAUCGAUCAGUAGCUGGUCUGAGAGGAUGAUCAGCCACACUGGAACUGAGACACGGUCCAGACUCCUACGGGAGGCAGCAGUAAGGAAUAUUGCUCAAUGGCCGAAAGGCUGAAGCAGCAACGCCGCGUGGAGGAUGAAAUACUUUUGUAUGUAAACUCCUGUGAGAAGGGAAAAAUAUGCAGAUUUUCUGCGUUGAUUGUACCUUCAGAGGAAGCCCCGGCUAACUACGUGCCAGCAGCCGCGGUAAUACGUAGGGGGCGAGAGUUGUCCGGAUUUACUGG
rnacentral:rRNA from 1 species